GAUGAACGCUGGCGGCGUGCCUAAUACAUGCAAGUCGAGCGAACGGACGAGAAGCUUGCUUUUCUGAUGUUAGCGGCGGACGGGUGAGUAACACGUGGAUAACCUACCUAUAAGACUGGGAUAACUUCGGGAAACCGGAGCUAAUACCGGAUAAUAUUUUGAACCGCAUGGUUCAAAAGUGAAAGACGGUCUUGCUGUCACUUAUAGAUGGAUCCGCGCUGCAUUAGCUAGUUGGUAAGGUAACGGCUUACCAAGGCAACGAUGCAUAGCCGACCUGAGAGGGUGAUCGGCCACACUGGAACUGAGACACGGUCCAGACCCCUACGGGAGGCAGCAGUAGGGAAUCUUCCGCAAUGGGCGAAAGCCUGACGGAGCAACGCCGCGUGAGUGAUGAAGGUCUUCGGAUCGUAAAACUCUGUUAUUAGGGAAGAACAUAUGUGUAAGUAACUGUGCACAUCUUGACGGUACCUAAUCAGAAAGCCACGGCUAACUACGUG
rnacentral:rRNA from 1 species